UACGAAGGGGGCUAGCGUUGCUCGGAAUGACUGGGCGUAAAGGGCGCGUAGGCGGUGGACACAGUCAGGCGUGAAAUUCCUGGGCUCAACCUGGGGGCUGCGUUUGAUACGUGUUUGCUAGAGUGGGGAAGAGGGUCGUGGAAUUCCCAGUGUAGAGGUGAAAUUCGUAGAUAUUGGGAAGAACACCGGUGGCGAAGGCGGCGACCUGGUCCUUGACUGACGCUGAGGUGCGAAAGCGUGGGGAGCAAACAGG
rnacentral:rRNA from 1 species